rnacentral:rRNA from 1 species
UGGAUCCAGACUUUGAUUCUGGCUCAGGAUGAACGCUAGCGGCAGGCUUAACACAUGCAAGUCGAGGGGCAGCGGAGAGGAAGCUUGCUUUCUCUGCCGGCGACCGGCGCACGGGUGAGUAACACGUAUGCAACCUGCCCUUCUCAGGGGGACAACCCGCCGAAAGGCGGGCUAAUCCCGCGUAUAUGCUCCGGAGGCAUCUCUGGAGCAGGAAAACUUCGGUGGAGAAGGAUGGGCAUGCGGCGCAUCAGCUAGUUGGCGGGGUAACGGCCCACCAAGGCGACGAUGCGUAGGGGUUCUGAGAGGAAGGUCCCCCACACUGGUACUGAGACACGGACCAGACUCCUACGGGAGGCAGCAGUGAGGAAUAUUGGUCAAUGGUCGGGAGACUGAACCAGCCAAGCCGCGAAGGAAGACGGCGCUCAGCGUUGUAAACUUCUUUUGUCAGGGAACAAAAGGCGUCACGUGUGACGCUCUGAGUGUACCUGAAGAAAAAGCAUCGGCUAACUCCGUGCCAGCAGCCGCGGUAAUACGGAGGAUGCGAGCGUUAUCCGGAUUUAUUGGGUUUAAAGGGUGCGUAGGCGGCAUGUUAAGUCAGCGGUAAAAGCCCGGGGCUCAACCCCGGCGAGCCGUUGAAACUGGCGUGCUGGAGACGGCGAGAGGUAUGCGGAAUGCGCAGUGUAGCGGUGAAAUGCAUAGAUAUUGCGCAGAACUCCGAUUGCGAAGGCAGCAUACUGGCGCCGGACUGACGCUGAGGCACGAAAGCGUGGGGAUCAAACAGGCUUAGAUACCCUGGUAGUCCACGCAGUAAACGAUGAAUGCUGGCUGUGUGGCCCGACAGAGGGCUGCGUGGCAUAGCGAAAGCGUUAAGCAUUCCACCUGGGGAGUACGCCGGCAACGGUGCAACUCAAAUGA